rnacentral:rRNA from 1 species
CCCUUAGAUGUUCUGGGCCGCACGCGCGCUACACUGAUGCAUUCAACAAGCCUAGCCUUGACCGAGAGGUCCGGGUAAUCUUUGAAACUGCAUCGUGAUGGGGCUAGAUUAUUGCAAUUAUUAAUCUUCAACGAGGAAUGCCUAGUAAGCGUGAUUCAUCAAAUCGCGUUGAUUACGUCCCUGCCCUUUGUACACACCGCCCGUCGCUCCUACCGAUUGAAUGUGUUGGUGAGGAGCUCGGAUUGGCAGCAGUUGGUUGUUCGCCACCGGCUAUUGCUGAGAAGUCCUCCAAACCGCCCCAUUUAGAGGAAGGAGAAGUCGUAACA